AUCGCGGUUGGUGUCCAUCUGGCGGAAGAUCUUCUCGGUCCUCUUCUCUGGGGUUGACUCAUCUUCUGGCAUCUUCAUUACAGAAGAAACCAUCUUGUAGAUUGCCUGUGUGACAGACAGCAGCAAAAACUGAAUUUUCCCGAGACUAGCAAUCGUGGGAUUUCAAUCUCUGCCAAGCAGCUGCACAAGAUCCUGAUGACUGCUGGAAUGAACUAAAGGCUGAACAGGACAACAGCGUCACUCUGAGCCAGCUCUGCUACCUGACAAAGAAGGAACAGCAGUAAACAGACUUGCAGUGGAGUCAAACAAGUACCCAAAUACAUCUGGCUAAAACUAUAGCUGACAUCAAAGAAGAGUAAUGAAGACUAACGAAGAAAUAAAGAG